rnacentral:rRNA from 1 species
GGCGCGUAGGCGGAUCGUUAAGUCAGAGGUGAAAUCCCAGGGCUCAACCCUGGAACUGCCUUUGAUACUGGCGAUCUUGAGUAUGAGAGAGGUAUGUGGAACUCCGAGUGUAGAGGUGAAAUUCGUAGAUAUUCGGAAGAACACCAGUGGCGAAGGCGACAUACUGGCUCAUUACUGACGCUGAGGCGCGAAAGCGUGGGGAGCAAACAGGAUUAGAUACCCGUGUAGU